rnacentral:rRNA from 1 species
GGGUUGUGAGGUUAAGCGACUAAGCGUACACGGUGGAUGCCCUGGCAGUCAGAGGCGAUGAAGGGCGUGCUAAUCUGCGAUAAGCGCCGGUAAGGUGAUAUGAACCGUUAUAACCGGCGAUACCCGAAUGGGGAAACCCAGUGUGACUCGUCACACUAUCAUUAACUGAAUCCAUAGGUUAAUGAGGCGAACCGGGGGAACUGAAACAUCUAAGUACCCGAGGAAAAGAAAUCAACCGAGAUUCCCCCAGUAGCGGCGAGCGAACGGGGAGGAGCCCAGAGCCUGAAUCAGCAUGUGUGUUAGUGGAAGCGUCUGGAAAGGCGCGCGAUACAGGGUGACAGCCCCGUACACAAAAGCGCAUGUGCUGUGAGCUCGAUGAGUAGGGCGGGACACGUGGUAUCCUGUCUGAAUAUGGGGGGACCAUCCUCCAAGGCUAAAUACUCCUGACUGACCGAUAGUGAACCAGUACCGUGAGGGAAAGGCGAAAAGAACCCCGGCGAGGGGAGUGAAAAAGAACCUGAAACCGUGUACGUACAAGCAGUGGGAGCACAGGUUUACCUGUGUGACUGCGUACCUUUUGUAUAAUGGGUCAGCGACUUAUAUUCUGUAGCAAGGUUAACCGAAUAGGGGAGCCGGAGGGAAACCGAGUCUUAAUUGGGCGUUAAGUUGCAGGGUAUAGACCCGAAACCCGGUGAUCUAGCCAUGGGCAGGUUGAAGGUUGGGUAACACUAACUGGAGGACCGAACCGACUAAUGUUGAAAAAUUAGCGGAUGACCUGUGGCUGGGGGUGAAAGGCCAAUCAAACCGGGAGAUAGCUGGUUCUCCCCGAAAGCUAUUUAGGUAGCGCCUCGUGAAUUCAUCUCCGGGGGUAGAGCACUGUUUCGGCUAGGGGGCCAUCCCGGCUUACCAACCCGAUGCAAACUGCGAAUACCGGAGAAUGUUAUCACGGGAGACACACGGCGGGUGCUAACGUCCGUCGUGAAGAGGGAAACAACCCAGACCGCCAGCUAAGGUCCCAAAGUCAUGGUUAAGUGGGAAACGAUGUGGGAAGGCCCAGACAGCCAGGAUGUUGGCUUAGAAGCAGCCAUCAUUUAAAGAAAGCGUAAUAGCUCACUGGUCGAGUCGGCCUGCGCGGAAGAUGUAACGGGGCUAAACCAUGCACCGAAGCUGCGGCAGCGACACUGUGUGUUGUUGGGUAGGGGAGCGUUCUGUAAGCCUGUGAAGGUGGCCUGUGAGGGUUGCUGGAGGUAUCAGAAGUGCGAAUGCUGACAUAAGUAACGAUAAAGCGGGUGAAAAGCCCGCUCGCCGGAAGACCAAGGGUUCCUGUCCAACGUUAAUCGGGGCAGGGUGAGUCGACCCCUAAGGCGAGGCCGAAAGGCGUAGUCGAUGGGAAACAGGUUAAUAUUCCUGUACUUGGUGUUACUGCGAAGGGGGGACGGAGAAGGCUAUGUUGGCCGGGCGACGGUUGUCCCGGUUUAAGCGUGUAGGUGUGUGUUCCAGGUAAAUCCGGUUCACUUUAACACUGAGGCGUGAUGACGAGGCACUACGGUGCUGAAGCAACAAAUGCCCUGCUUCCAGGAAAAGCCUCUAAGCAUCAGGUAACAUCAAAUCGUACCCCAAACCGACACAGGUGGUCAGGUAGAGAAUACCAAGGCGCUUGAGAGAACUCGGGUGAAGGAACUAGGCAAAAUGGUGCCGUAACUUCGGGAGAAGGCACGCUGACACGUAGGUGAAGUGAUUUACUCAUGGAGCUGAAGUCAGUCGAAGAUACCAGCUGGCUGCAACUGUUUAUUAAAAACACAGCACUGUGCAAACACGAAAGUGGACGUAUACGGUGUGACGCCUGCCCGGUGCCGGAAGGUUAAUUGAUGGGGUCAGCGCAAGCGAAGCUCCUGAUCGAAGCCCCGGUAAACGGCGGCCGUAACUAUAACGGUCCUAAGGUAGCGAAAUUCCUUGUCGGGUAAGUUCCGACCUGCACGAAUGGCGUAAUGAUGGCCAGGCUGUCUCCACCCGAGACUCAGUGAAAUUGAACUCGCUGUGAAGAUGCAGUGUACCCGCGGCAAGACGGAAAGACCCCGUGAACCUUUACUAUAGCUUGACACUGAACAUUGAGCCUUGAUGUGUAGGAUAGGUGGGAGGCUUUGAAGUGUGGACGCCAGUCUGCAUGGAGCCGACCUUGAAAUACCACCCUUUAAUGUUUGAUGUUCUAACGUGGACCCGUAAUCCGGGUUGCGGACAGUGUCUGGUGGGUAGUUUGACUGGGGCGGUCUCCUCCUAAAGAGUAACGGAGGAGCACGAAGGUUGGCUAAUCCUGGUCGGACAUCAGGAGGUUAGUGCAAUGGCAUAAGCCAGCUUGACUGCGAGCGUGACGGCGCGAGCAGGUGCGAAAGCAGGUCAUAGUGAUCCGGUGGUUCUGAAUGGAAGGGCCAUCGCUCAACGGAUAAAAGGUACUCCGGGGAUAACAGGCUGAUACCGCCCAAGAGUUCAUAUCGACGGCGGUGUUUGGCACCUCGAUGUCGGCUCAUCACAUCCUGGGGCUGAAGUAGGUCCCAAGGGUAUGGCUGUUCGCCAUUUAAAGUGGUACGCGAGCUGGGUUUAGAACGUCGUGAGACAGUUCGGUCCCUAUCUGCCGUGGGCGCUGGAGAACUGAGGGGGGCUGCUCCUAGUACGAGAGGACCGGAGUGGACGCAUCACUGGUGUUCGGGUUGUCAUGCCAAUGGCACUGCCCGGUAGCUAAAUGCGGAAGAGAUAAGUGCUGAAAGCAUCUAAGCACGAAACUUGCCCCGAGAUGAGUUCUCCCUGAGACUUAGAGUCUCCUGAAGGAACGUUGAAGACGACGACGUUGAUAGGCCGGGUGUGUAAGCGCAGCGAUGCGUUGAGCUAACCGGUACUAAUGAACCGUGAGGCUUAACCUUACAACGCCGAAG